rnacentral:lncRNA from 1 species
GGAACAGCUGAGUUGCCUUCUCUUCUUAUAAUCCAGCAGAGAAAUUUCCUGACAGACUGCUAUGUCCUCUCAUGCUGUGGGAGCUUUGUAGUCAGUGCAAUUGAGCUCCACACAGGAGCUUUCCCUCAGUCUAGAUGACAAGGUCAGUUUUGGUCACCAGGAAAGCAGAAGGAUGAUUUCCUAUCAAUAGAUGAGCUUAGAAUAAACGCAUCACCAAACCCAUUCUGCCUUUAUCAGCUCAUGGAAGAGUGGCCAUUUGCAGAGCUGGCCGAACUAUGGUCCCUGCAGUGAUACGGGGCGUUGUGAGGUGAUGUGAAAACCUGCAGGACUAAGCCGGGAAAAACUUUGAUGUUUUCUGAGUGAAGUUCUGUGGGCUGAGGGAGCAAACAGCAGAGUGUGCAGAGUUAUACAGCCAUCCACGGCGAAGCUACAUCCAGUUCAGGGAACCGUCUUUUAACAGGGAACAUUUCUCCCCACCGCUUCUACCUUCCACCAUUACCUUUUGAUACAGUCCCCCAACUCAUUUUCCUGUGAUUGUGUAACAUCUCAUAAAAGAAAGCGCUUGGUUGACUUGGUGGUUCAUAACAAUGAAACUGGUAUAUGCAACUUUUAUUUUCUAGAUAUUUUUCCUAGAGAGCCUUUUUUUGUUUGUGUUUUAGUGUUCCACCUGCAGCUUCUGCAUCCAGGGGCUACAGCUGCAUUCCCACUGAAUUUCAGAGUUUCAGUCCCAAGUGCCAUUGGGUUUAGGCAGCCAAAAUAUUAGUGUAACUGGUUUUGGAUUCAAUAGGCUACCUAGUGGCUUAACCUACUAUUGAAGGUCAGGAGAAUAUAACUCAUCCUCCACAAUAGCUAGACAUCACCAGCUAUGCUUCUGGAGGUGUCCUGGAAAAUGAAACUGUGAAAACAUUCCAAGAGCUUCGGUGGGAUUAUUGUGUAUGACAAGAUCCUCUUCGACAAUAGACAGACCUUGGUGCUUGUAAUACCUGAUAAAAAUCCAAGCUCCCCCUCGGGACCACUCUGCUUGUUGUGCACAGUGUUUCAAAUGGGUUUAUAAUAUGCGGAAUCAGCACCAUCAGUGACUAAAACUAGCUCACAGCUUCUCACCCACGUUCUCAGUUUAAGCAUUCAUUGUUCUUUUAAACAUCUUAUUUUCUUACUUUAAAAAAAAGUUUUCCCAUGUGGCAUAAUACCUAGCCCUGGAAGAUGCUAAUCAUUGUGCUGUAUUUCCCUUUAUGGACAAAAUAGGUUAUCCUCUGAGAUGCUAUUUCUGAUUUUUUUAAGUCAGGAAAGUAGAAAUAUAUUUUCCUAUAAUAUUUGUUGGUCUUAUUGGAAUUAAUGUAUGGAAACAAUGGCUGUAUAGAAUACUUACGACACUGUGCAAGAUUAAUUGAUUGCAGAAUCAGCGGUAUGCUCAAAGAGCAUUAGCUUUUCUCAAGAUAAGAAUAUUAUCACAAAUUAGAAGAGGACUGUAACAGGCAGUGCUGGCCCUUGAAACCAAGCCCCACGUCCACCCCCACACCACUGCUGAUUUCAGUCUAAGCCUUAUGUGCUAGAGAGCUGCAGAGGAUGAUCACAAGUGAACAACAUAAUUCCCUAAUGCAUGUGUGAUCAGAUAGUAUAAGCAAAGAGCAUCUCCCUGACUGGAAAACAUUUGGACUGGUGGCUGCUUUAGAAAUAAUCUAUACGAGAAACCUAAAAGGUAAGCAUGUUGUUUUGAUUAGAGAGCCAGACCUAGGAAAACAGCAAGAGGAAAGCUAAGGCUU